rnacentral:rRNA from 1 species
AUUGAACGCUGGCGGCAGGCCUAACACAUGCAAGUCGAACGAGUGGCGGACGGGUGAGUAAUGUCUGGGAAACUGCCCGAUGGAGGGGGAUAACUACUGGAACCGGUAGCUAAUACCGCAUACCAGCGGAUGUGCCCAGAUGGGAUUAGCGAGUAGGUGGGGUAACGGCUCACCGAGGCGACGAUCCCUAGCGGGUCUGAGAGGAUGACCAGCCACACUGGAACUGAGACACGGUCCAGACCCCUACGGGAGGCAGCAGUGGGGAAUAUUGCACAAUGGGCGCAAGCCUGAUGCAGCCAUGCCGCGUGUAUGAAGAAGGCCUUCGGGUUGUAAAGUACUUUCAGCGGGGAGGCGUUACCCGCAGAAGAAGCACCGGCUAACUCCGUGCCAGCAGCCGCGGUAAUAC